rnacentral:tRNA from 1 species
UUCCUGGUAGCUCAACUGGUAGAGAAUCUGCCUGCAAUGCAGGAGACCCCAGUUCAAUUCCUGAGUCAGGACG